GGCGAUACGGNCACGACUAGAGUGCUGUAGGGGUAACUGGAAUUCCUGGUGUAGCGGUGAAAUGCGCAGAUAUCAGGAGGANCACCGAUGGCGAAGGCGGGUUACUGGGCAGUUACUGACGCUGAGGAGCGAAAGCAUGGGGAGCGAACAGGAUUAGAUACCCUGGUAGUCCAUGCUGUAAACGGUGGGCGCUAGGUGUGGGCUGUGUGUUUGCAGUCUGUGCCGUAGCUAACGCAUUAAGCGCCCCGCCUGGGGAGUACGGCCGCAAGGCUAAAACUCAAAGGAAUUGACGGGGGCCCGCACAAGCGGCGGAGCAUGUGGAUUAAUUCGAUGCAACGCGAAGAACCUUACCUGGGUUUGACAUGCACCAGAUCGGCGUAGAGAUACGUCUUCCCUUGUGGUUGGUGCACAGGUGGUGCAUGGUUGUCGUCAGCUCGUGUCGUGAGAUGUUGGGUUAAGACCCGCAACGAGCGCAACCCUUGUCUUAUGUUGCCAGCACAUUUUUGGUGGGGACUCAUGAGAAACUGCCGGGGUCAACUCGGAGGAAGGUGGGGAUGACGUCAAAUCAUCAUGCCCUUUAUACCCAGGGCUUCACACAUGCUACAAUGGUCGGUACAACGGGUUGCGACACUGUGAAGUGAAGCUAAUCUCUCAAAGCCGGCCUCAGUUCGGAUUGGGGUCUGCAACUCGACCCCAUGAAGUCGGAGUCGCUAGUAAUCGCAGAUCAGCAACGCUGCGGUGAAUACGUUCCCGGGCCUUGUACAC
rnacentral:rRNA from 1 species